rnacentral:rRNA from 1 species
GACGAACGCUGGCGGCGUGCUUAACACAUGCAAGUCGAACGGAAAGGCCCUGCUUUUGUGGGGUGCUCGAGUGGCGAACGGGUGAGUAACACGUGAGUAACCUGCCCUUGACUUUGGGAUAACUUCAGGAAACUGGGGCUAAUACCGGAUAGGAGCUCCUGCUGCAUGGUGGGGGUUGGAAAGUUUUGGCGGUUGGGGAUGGACUCGCGGCUUAUCAGCUUGUUGGUGGGGUAGUGGCUUACCAAGGCUUUGACGGGUAGCCGGCCUGAGAGGGUGACCGGCCACAUUGGGACUGAGAUACGGACCAGACUGCUACGGGAGGCAGCAGUGGGGAAUAUGGCACAAUGGGCGGAAGCGUGAUGCAGCAACGCCGCGUGCGGGAUGACGGCCUUCGGGUGGGAAACCGCUUUCGCCUGUGACGAAGCGUGAGUGACGGUAAUGGGGAAAGAAGCACCGGCUAACUACGU